CGGGGGCCAAGGAAGGAAGAAAUGUGGGCGCGGGCGUUGUGGCUGGGCCUUCGGGCCCCGCUGGGCAGGCCCCGGGGCUUCACCUCCAAGACAGAUCCUCAGGGCAGUGGCCGAAUCACGGCCGAGAUGAUCGAGCACCUGGAGCGUCUAGCACUUGUGGACUUUGGCAGCCGGGAGGCAGUAGCGCGGCUGGAGAAAGCCAUCGCCUUCACCGACUGGCUAGGCGCCGUGGACACCGACGGGGUGGAGCCCAUGGAGUCGGUCCUGGAGGACAGAUGUCUAUACCUGAGAUCCGACAAUGUAGUAGAAGGCAACUGUGCUGAUGAAUUACUACAAAACUCCCACCGUGUCGUGGAGGAGUACUUUGUGGCCCCUCCAGGUAACAUCCCUUUGCCAAAGCUGGAUGAACAAGAGCCAUUCCCACACAGCUGAGUAACUCCUUCUGGAAAGGGGGUACUGUGAACACUAAUGUUCCUGCUUUUCUAAGUCACCUAAAAAAAUGGACGCUUAAGCAUUUCUUAAUAACAGGCUCUUCUGAAGACAGAAUUGGGAAAGAUCUAGCCCAAUGAGUUCUAGAGCCCAAAGAUCUGUAACAGUGAGUUCCUGAUGCUAACUGAAAUGAAAGGAAAGCAAAAAGUCAGCUUCCAAGGUAUUCACUAAACAGGCCUGUUCAGUAAGACAGACACGUAAGACAGACACUAUUUAUCUGCCUUUAACCCCAGAAGACUGAAGCAACUGCAUGAAAGUGAACUUUUCUGUCUAUGUAACUGGUAGAUGGAGCAUCUUGAUCACUAUGUGACAACCUUGGCUGUCCCUUUUAGUUGCCACUUGCAUUGAUUUGAGCAGGCCUAUCUUGACCAAACAUACCUGAAUUUGUUCCUGGGCACCCACUUUGUUCCUAGAAAAGGGCUAACUUCCUGCUAAGGUCUGAAGAGUGUUCAAAGUAGACUAGAGCUUGGGAACUCCUAACCUAGAGCUAUCUGCUAUCCCACAAAGUGAUUAUAUGCAAAAGGGACACUAGUCAUACCUAGUGUUUCUCUUUCUGAAAAGAGAACUUGUCCUAAAAUUAGCCCUGGGACAAAGCACCCCCAAAAUGAUUAUUAAAUUGAGAUGAGUCCAAGA